UACGUAGGGUGCGAGCGUUAAUCGGAAUUAUUGGGCGUAAAGCGUGCGCAGGCGGUUUUAUAAGACAGAUGUGAAAUCCCCGGGCUUAACCUGGGAACUGCGUUUGUGACUGUAAGACUGGAGUGUGGCAGAGGGGGGUGGAAUUCCACGUGUAGCAGUGAAAUGCGUAGAUAUGUGGAGGAACAUCGAUGGCGAAGGCAGCCCCCUGGGUUAACACUGACGUUCAUGCACGAAAGCGUGGGGAGCAAACAGG
rnacentral:rRNA from 1 species